rnacentral:piRNA from 1 species
UNUGAAGCUGGAGCCAUGUGUACUUCAUA